AGCAAAUGGGAGAGGCACACAUUGGGUAUGAGUGGGACUCAACUAAAGAGUCAAGUGAUGAGGAUGUGAAAGUUGCAUCUAUGGCAAUUCACAAGUCAUCCUCUACACCAAGACUCUUCACCAACUUGUCCGAUGAUGAUGAUCACCACUCCCCUCAUAUUUGUCUCAUGGCAAAGGGUGACAAGGUAGAAUCAAAUACCAAACCUUCUCCACAACCUAGUGAUAUAUCUAGGCCUUGUUUACUUCCACCCAAAAUCCAAAAACUUUUCAAGAUUCCCCAUCACAUCAAAUCUUUAGACACAUGCAUGGAGUAUUAAAUAUAAACAAAAAUAAAAAAUAAUUUUACAGUUUAGUCGAAACUUACGAGACGAAUCUGUUAAGCCUAGUUAGUCCAUGAUUUGACAAUAAUUACCACAAACAAACAAAAAUGCUACAGUGCCGUGAAAAAAUUUCGCCC
rnacentral:lncRNA from 1 species